AUUUGAAAUUACUUAGUUUUGUGUCAUGUCUGUGAUCUGCUUUUUUUUUCUACAAAAUUAAACAACUGAAUGAACAUCCUCCAAGGCCGGUGAUUCCAUAAUUUUUGCCAGGGGUUGUAUACUGUUGUUAAGUGGCUGUGGGAGUUUGGAGUUGGGCUACUGAUCAGGGUUCAGCUCCUGGUGUAUGAUUCAGGCUACCUGUCUAUGUUCUUGGAAAAGACAUUUUAUCUGCAUCCUCCCAGUCCACCCAGCUGUAAAUGGGUUCUGGUCUUCACUGGGGAAUUAAUCUGCAAUGGACUGGUGUCCCAUCCAGGGGGAGUCAUAAACUCCCCUCCGGUUCCGUGGGCAAACAGCUACCUGACGGACCUCAGGGCCUGUGUAGAACUUACUUGUUUUUGUUAUACUGUGACACAGAUGAUGUAAAACUGACAAUGUGGUCCUUCAUCCCAGGGUGUGUAUCAGUCCUUUAAGCUAAAACUGUCCGUGUUUCUCUCUGUAGAGUCUUGGGGUGACUUAUGUUACCAUUUUACUGUAUUUUUGUUGCUCCUGAGACCAUUUGCAGGAGUUACUUUCUUGCUGAUUUUCUGGAGAAGUGGGCGAGUGUCUUCCCCCUUUUUGUCAGCUGAAGGUACAGAAGGUGUGGAGGGUUGUCAGUGUAGAUCCGGAGGACUCCUGCUCUGUGGUACUGGAUUCUGCCUGUCAGUCCUGGUCUCCAGGCUCAGGUGGACCUGCUGCAGUCUCACUGGUCUUUGUGGGACUGCAGAUGGCCUGGAGUGGACCUCUGUAACAUCUGUAACCUCUGCCUCCUGAGACAUGCACCUGCUGUGGUUUUAGAAUGAAACCCAAAUUAAAGAAAUUUAUCCAAAUGAAACUAAAACAGUGUCCAUAUUA